rnacentral:rRNA from 1 species
UUUUUCUCAUUUUUCAUAGCGGAGGAAAAGAAACUAACAAGGAUUCCCCUAGUAGCGGCGAGCGAAGCGGGAAGAGCUCAAAUUUAUAAUCUGGCACCUUCGGUGUCCGAGUUGUAAUCUCUAGAAAUGUUUUCCGCGUUGGACCGCACACAAGUCUGUUGGAAUACAGCGGCAUAGUGGUGAGACCCCCGUAUAUGGUGCGGACGCCCAGCGCUUUGUGAUACAUUUUCGAAGAGUCGAGUUGUUUGGGAAUGCAGCUCAAAUUGGGUGGUAAAUUCCAUCUAAAGCUAAAUAUUGGCGAGAGACCGAUAGCGAACAAGUACCGUGAGGGAAAGAUGAAAAGCACUUUGGAAAGAGAGUUAACAGUACGUGAAAUUGUUGGAAGGGAAACGCUUGAAGUCAGACUUGCUUGCCGAGCAAUCGGUUUGCAGGCCAGCAUCAGUUUUCCGGGAUGGAUAAUGGUAGAGAGAAGGUAGCAGUUUCGGCUGUGUUAUAGCUCUCUGCUGGAUACAUCUUGGGGGACUGAGGAACGCAGUGUGCCUUUGGCGGGGGUUUCGACCUCUCACACUAGGAUGCU